rnacentral:misc_RNA from 1 species
GAUGAAGAACGCAGCAAAAUGCGAUAAGUAAUGUGAAUUGCAGAAUUCAGUGAAUCAUCGAAUCUUUGAACGCACAUUGCGCCCGCCAGUAUUCUGGCGGGCAUGCCUGUUCGAGCGUCAUUUCAACCCUCAAGCACAGCUUGGUGUUGGGACUCGCGUUAAUUCGCGUUCCCCAAAUUGAUUGGCGGUCACGUCGAGCUUCCAUAGCGUAGUAGUAAAACCCUCGUUACUGGUAAUCGUCGCGGCCACGCCGUUAAACCCCAACUUCUGAAUGUUGACCUCGAAUCAGGUAGGAAUACCCGCUGAACUUAAGCAUAUCAAUAAGCGGAGGA